rnacentral:rRNA from 1 species
GUAGGGGGCAAGCGUUGUCCGGAAUUAUUGGGCGUAAAGCGCGCGCAGGCGGCUAUUCAAGUCUGGUGUUUAAACCUUGGGCUCAACCUGAGGUCGCACUGGAAACUGGGUGGCUUGAGUACAGAAGAGGAAAGUGGAAUUCCACGUGUAGCGGUGAAAUGCGUAGAGAUGUGGAGGAACACCAGUGGCGAAGGCGACUUUCUGGGCUGUAACUGACGCUGAGGCGCGAAAGCGUGGGGAGCAAACAGGGAUUAGAUACCCUGGUAGUCCACGCCGUAAACGAUGAGUGCUAGGUGUUAGGGGUUUCGAUACCCCUUGGUGCCCGAAGUUAACACAGUAAGCACUCCGCCUGGGGGAGUACGGUCGCAAGACUG